UACAGAGGGAGCGAGCGUUGUUCGGAAUUACUGGGCGUAAAGGGCGCGUAGGCGGUCCGAUAAGUCCCGUGUGAAAUCCCUCGGCUCAACUGAGGAAUGGCACGGGAAACUGACGGGCUUGAGUUCGGGAGAGGGAAGCGGAAUUCCCGGUGUAGUGGUGAAAUGCGUAGAUAUCGGGAGGAACACCAGUGGCGAAGGCGACUACCUGGCCUGUUCUUGACGCUGAGGCGCGAAAGCUAGGGGAGCAAACGGG
rnacentral:rRNA from 1 species